rnacentral:rRNA from 1 species
GUCCUUUUGUUUUAUUUAGAAGGUCUUGCCUGCCCAGUGAUAUUUAUUUAACGGCCGCGGUAUAUUGACCGUGCAAAGGUAGCAUAAUCAUUAGUCUUUUAAUAGGAGGCUGGUAUGAAAGGUUUAACGAAGCAUAAUCUGUCUCAUUUAUAAUUUUAGAAUUUAACUUUUGAGUUAAAAGGCUCAAAUUCAGUUGGUGGACGAGAAGACCCUAUAGAGCUUUACAUUAAUUUUUUUAAUAUUAUUUUGUUAAAUAAUUUUAUACUAAUUUUUUUAGUGUUUUGUUGGGGUGACAAAAAAUAUAUAAUUAACUUUUUUAUUUAAUAACCAUUAAUUUAUGAUUAUUUGAUCCAAUAGUAUUGAUUAUUAGACUAAGUUACCUUAGGGAUAACAGCGUAAUCUUCUUUCAGAGUUCAAAUUUACAAGAAGGCUUGCGACCUCGAUGUUGGAUUAAGAUAAUAAUUAGGUGCAGUAGCUUAAUUAAUAGGUCUGUUCGACCUUUAAAUUCUUACAUGAUCUGAGUUCAAACCGG